rnacentral:rRNA from 1 species
AUGCAGUCGAGCGGGGUUUUCGGACCUAGCGGCGGACGGGUGAGUAAUGCGUAGGAAGCUACCCGAUAGAGGGGGAUACCAGUUGGAAACGACUGUUAAUACCGCAUAAUGUCUACGGACCAAAGUGUGGGACCUUCGGGCCACAUGCUAUCGGAUGCGCCUACGUGGGAUUAGCUAGUUGGUGGGGUAAUGGCUCACCAAGGCGACGAUCCCUAGCCGGUUUGAGAGGAUGAUCAGCCACACUGGAACUGAGACACGGUCCAGACUCCUACGGGAGGCAGCAGUGGGGAAUAUUGGACAAUGGGCGCAAGCCUGAUCCAGCCAUGCCGCGUGUGUGAAGAAGGCCUUCGGGUUGUAAAGCACUUUCAGCGAGGAGGAAGGGUUAGUAGUUAAUAGCUGCUAAUUUUGACGUUACUCGCAGAAGAAGCACCGGCUAACUCUGUGCCAGCAGCCGCGGUAAUACAGAGGGUGCAAGCGUUAAUCGGAAUUACUGGGCGUAAAGCGCACGUAGGCGGUUUUUUAAGUCAGAUGUGAAAGCCCCGGGCUCAACCUGGGAAUUGCAUUUGAAACUGGAAAACUAGAGUGUGUGAGAGGGGGGUAGAAUUCCAAGUGUAGCGGUGAAAUGCGUAGAGAUUUGGAGGAAUACCAGUGGCGAAGGCGGCCCCCUGGCACUACACUGACGCUCAGGUGCGAAAGCGUGNGGAGCAAACAGGAUUAGAUACCCUGGUAGUCCACGCCGUAAAC